UUCGAACAUCUAUAUAUAUAUAUAAAUCAUCAUGUGUACAUGUAUGUAAUUAAGAUAUAUUGUAUGUCAACUUAAAACAAUGGCAAGCUUAUCGUUUAACAUGGCCCCAACAACACCCGUGUGUGAAAGAUGUUACCACGGCAAUAUUAUCAAACCAUCAAGUGUCUGGUGUUUUGAAUGUGAUGAAGGGUUUUGUAAAGAAUGCAAAACUCAACACGGUAUAUCGAAGGGAACAAAUAAACACAUCACCUUACCAAUAAAUUGGUGUUUUGUUUGUGUUUGUUACCUGCAGCGGCUUAGGCACACAGUAAAUGUUGAACUUUAUUCACAUUUGUAUUUAAUUAAAUAAACGCUUUGAAGCACACUUUCGGGAUAGCUAAUCUAAUAUACAGCUGUUUAUUUUUUUUUGAUAAAUUAUGCUCCUUUGAAUUUAUGAAUUAAAACAUAAUUCUAAGUA